GCUUAUACAUCGUAAGUCGAGCGGUAGCACAGGGGAGCUUGCUCCCUGGGUGACGAGCGGCGGACGGGUGAGUAAUGUCUGGGAAACUGCCUGAUGGAGGGGGAUAACUACUGGAAACGGUAGCUAAUACCGCAUAACGUCGCAAGACCAAAGAGGGGGACCUUCGGGCCUCUUGCCAUCAGAUGUGCCCAGAUGGGAUUAGCUAGUAGGUGGGGUAAUGGCUCACCUAGGCGACGAUCCCUAGCUGGUCUGAGAGGAUGACCAGCCACACUGGAACUGAGACACGGUCCAGACUCCUACGGGAGGCAGCAGUGGGGAAUAUUGCACAAUGGGCGCAAGCCUGAUGCAGCCAUGCCGCGUGUGUGAAGAAGGCCUUCGGGUUGUAAAGCACUUUCAGCGAGGAGGAAGGUGGUGAGCUUAAUACGUUCAUCAAUUGACGUUACUCGCAGAAGAAGCACCGGCUAACUCCGUGCCAGCAGCCGCGGUAAUACGGCGGAGGGUGCAGCGUUAAUCGGAAUUACUGGGCGUAAAGCGCACGCAGGCGGUUUGUUAAGUCAGAUGUGAAAUCCCCGGGCUCAACCUGGGAACUGCAUUUGAAACUGGCAAGCUAGAGUCUCGUAGAGGGGGGUAGAAUUCCAGGUGUAGCGGUGAAAUGCGUAGAGAUCUGGAGGAAUACCGGUGGCGAAGGCGGCCCCCUGGACGAAGACUGACGCUCAGGUGCGAAAGCGUGGGGAGCAAACAGGAUUAGAUACCCUGGUAGUCCACGCUGUAAACGAUGUCGAUUUGGAGGUUGUGCCCUUGAGGCGUGGCUUCCGGAGCUAACGCGUUAAAUCGACCGCCUGGGGAGUACGGCCGCAAGGUUAAAACUCAAAUGAAUUGACGGGGGCCCGCACAAGCGGUGGAGCAUGUGGUUUAAUUCGAUGCAACGCGAAGAACCUUACCUACUCUUGACAUCCAGAGAACUUUCCAGAGAUGGAUUGGUGCCUUCGGGAACUCUGAGACAGGUGCUGCAUGGCUGUCGUCAGCUCGUGUUGUGAAAUGUUGGGUUAAGUCCCGCAACGAGCGCAACCCUUAUCCUUUGUUGCCAGCGGUUCGGCCGGGAACUCAAAGGAGACUGCCAGUGAUAAACUGGAGGAAGGUGGGGAUGACGUCAAGUCAUCAUGGCCCUUACGAGUAGGGCUACACACGUGCUACAAUGGCGUAUACAAAGAGAAGCGACCUCGCGAGAGCAAGCGGACCUCAUAAAGUACGUCGUAGUCCGGAUUGGAGUCUGCAACUCGACUCCAUGAAGUCGGAAUCGCUAGUAAUCGUAGAUU
rnacentral:rRNA from 1 species